rnacentral:rRNA from 1 species
UACGUAGGGGGCAAGCGUUGUCCGGAUUUAUUGGGCGUAAAGAGCGUGUAGGCGGCCAGGUAGGUCCGUUGUGAAAACUCGAGGCUCAACCUCGAGACGCCGAUGGAAACCAUCUGGCUAGAGUCCGGAAGAGGAGAGUGGAAUUCCCGGUGUAGCGGUGAAAUGCGCAGAUAUUGGGAGGAACACCAGUGGCGAAGGCGGUCCCCUGGGCCGGAACUGACGCUGAGGCGCGAAAGCGUGGGUAGCAAACGGG